UACGUAGGGUGCGAGCGUUGUCCGGAAUUACUGGGCGUAAAGAGCUCGUAGGUGGUUUGUCGCGUCGUCUGUGAAAUUCCGGGGCUUAACUUCGGGCGUGCAGGCGAUACGGGCAAUACUUGAGUGCUGUAGGGGAGACUGGAAUUCCUGGUGUAGCGGUGGAAUGCGCAGAUAUCAGGAGGAACACCGAUGGCGAAGGCAGGUCUCUGGGCAGUAACUGACGCUGAGGCGCGAAAGCGUGGGGAGCAAACAGGAUUAGAUA
rnacentral:rRNA from 1 species